GAGUUUGAUCUUGGCUCAGAGUGAACGCUGGCGGCAGGCCUAACACAUGCAAGUCGAGCGGCAGCGCGGGGGCAACCCUGGCGGCGAGCGGCGGACGGGUGAGGAAUGCAUCGGAAUCUACCUCGUUGUGGGGGAUAACCUCGGGAAACCGGGACUAAUACCGCAUACGACCUACGGGUGAAAGUGGGGGACCGCAAGGCCUCACGCGAUGAGAUGAGCCGAUGCCGGAUUAGCUAGUUGGCGGGGUAAAGGCCCACCAAGGCGACGAUCCGUAGCUGGUCUGAGAGGAUGAUCAGCCACACUGGAACUGAGACACGGUCCAGACUCCUACGGGAGGCAGCAGUGGGGAAUAUUGGACAAUGGGCGCAAGCCUGAUCCAGCAAUGCCGCGUGGGUGAAGAAGGCCU
rnacentral:rRNA from 1 species